CUUGCAGGUGCCGUUGAACCGUGCGGGCGACGCAACCAAGCUCAAGGAGGAGCUCGAUGAAGAUUGUGUUCGCUAUGUUGUUCCGUUCCCAGUUGAUCAGUGAGCCCAGUUGGGACGAUCAGGGAUCUGUAUAGCAUUUGGGCUAGUCUUCUUUUAUUCUGGGUUCCUUGUCGGACCUUGUUUGUAUCUGGUUGAUGUAAUGUUAUAUUCAUGUAUUGUGUGAAGUGGCGAUUGUAAGCCAACUAUGUAUCUUUUCCCUUAUGUAUUACAUGGGUUGUGUGAAGAUUACCUCACUUGCGACAUUGCUUUCAAUGAGGUUAUGCCUCUAAGUCGUGCUUCGACACGUGGGAGAUAUAGCCGCAUCGAGGGCGUUACAAGUUGGUAAUUAGAGCCUUCCCCGACCUUAGGAGCCCCCUGCUUGAUCGAAUCGUUGGCGUUGUUGAGUCU
rnacentral:rRNA from 1 species